rnacentral:misc_RNA from 1 species
GUGAAUCAUCGAAUUUUUGAACGCAAAUUGCGCUUCCUGGCAUCGCGGGAAGUAUGCCUGUUUGAGGGUUAGUAUUAAUAAAAAAUCGGUUUAGCUACAAAUUGUGACGUUUCCGGAGUUUGGGCUAUCUUAACAUGUUUGGUUAAAAGGAUUAAAAUUGACGUUUUUUGCGAAUUUUUAAACGUAAAUAUAUUUUUUUUAUUCGUCUAUUAUUAAUGCCAAAACCUAAUUAGAUGUGAUCAUAUUGUGUGGCUUCGUCU